GCUAUAAAGCACCAGGUGACCCAACAAUGCCUCUGGAGGCCAGGGUGUGGGAUUCUGGCUUCUGCAGCCAUGGGAAAGGCUCAUGGGGCCAGCCCCAGGGCCUGCUGAGCCUGCUGGGUGCAGGGAGGGCACCCAGAGCAUCUCCUCUGUGUGUAAGGGGGGAUCCUGUGCUUGGACAGCACAGGAACUGUCCUGCUACGAGUGGGCAGCUCCAUGGGGAUGGAGUUUGCCUGGGAUACCCUGGACUCCUGCAUCAGCAGUGGAGGGAACCAGGCUCCCUAAAGGAAUGACUCAAAUAGCCAAAACCAGGCACUGGUCUCAGUUCCAGCCGAGGUCAGCUGGGAGUGCUGGAGCAGGUGAGAGCUGGAGCAGGUGAGAGCUGGAGCAGGUGAGAGAUGGAGCAGGUGAGAGAUGGAGCAGGUGAGAGCUGGAGCAGGUGAAAGAUGGAGCAGGUGAGGUGAGAGCUGGAGGAGGUGAGAGCUGGAGGAGGUGAGAGCUGGAGCAGGUGAGAGCUGGAGCAGGUGAGAGAUGGAGCAGGUGAGAGAUGGAGCAGGUGAAAGAUGGAGCAGGUGAGAGCUGCAGCAGGUGAAAGAUGGAGCAGGUGAGGUGAGAGCUGGAGCAGGUGAGAGCUGGGGCAGGUGAGAGCUGGAGGAGGUGAGAGCUGGAGCAGCUGAGGGAUGUCUGUGGCUCACACGAUGUGCAAUCCUUGUUCCCUCCCAGCUGUCUGAGUUCCAGCUUCACUCUGUGCCUGCCCUGGUGAGGGACAAGCCCUGGACCCACAGCACGGAUGGAGGAGCUGCAGUGCAGAGCUCCAGAGCUCCAGGAGCUGCCUGGCAAGGGCAGAUGAGUCAGCACAGGAAAGAGAGACAAAAACAAGCAGAUGGAAGAAAUGGAUCUGACACAUGAAAGACACAUUAAGUGAGGAGGACUUGAGGCCCCAAAUUAGUGCCUGAAGAAAAAUUAACGAGCAACGCUUCCAGUGCAGGUGUCCUGCCAAAGAAAGCAUUCCCAUCCAUGGGGAGCACGGAGCAGCUCCCUGCCAGGCACAGCCAGCCCCUCUGCUCUGGGCCACAGCAGAAAUUGUUCUGCUCCCAGGAGUGGUAACUUGUUCAUCCUCUCCCAGCCCCAGGGUGUCUGCAUGGGCUGAGGAGGAGGGCAGCAGUGUGGGCAGCAGUGCUGAUGCCCUGUCAGGGGAGGGCAGGGCUCAUGGAAGGCCGUGGCACUGGUCACCAACUCCUCAAUAGUCCUUUCAGUAGGUUGCUAAUGAGAGAUAUUCACUAUAUGGCAAGAAAAAAUCUCUUAUGACUCCAAUGUGGGCUUUAAGUGUUAAUUAAUGGACACCUUCCAAGCCAGGAUAACAUUACAGUGACAAUUCUCUGUCAGCAAUCCCAUCUGUACUAACUGAUCUGCUGUUUAAUGUAAUAGCUUUGACCAUAAUGAGUUUAAAUUAUUGAA